CGUUGUCCGGAAUUAUUGGGCGUAAAGAGCUCGUAGGCGGUCUGUCGCGUCUGCUGUGAAAACUCGGGGCUUAACCCCGGGCCUGCAGUGGAUACGGGCGGACUCGAGUUCGGCAGGGGAGACUGGAAUUCCUGGUGUAGCGGUGAAAUGCGCAGAUAUCAGGAGGAACACCGGUGGCGAAGGCGGGUCUCUGGGCCGAUACUGACGCUGAGGCACGAAAGCGUGGGGAGCAAACAGG
rnacentral:rRNA from 1 species